GAUUAGGGUUCUCCUUUUUUUUCAGCACCACAUCGUAGAAGGAAAGGAGAAGAACGGGCGGCUGGGUUCUCAGCCAAGGUGUUCUUCUUGGCGACGACGACGACGAUGCAGUGCUCGGAGACGGCUGCAAGUGAUUCUUGAUGCAUGUUCCUGGUGCUCGACGACGGCUACAGGUGGUUAUUGACGCUUGGACUUCUCGGCAACACUGCAAAGGUGGUCGGAGCUGCAUGCAUCCUCGGCACGGCGGUUGUGCAGGCUGGGUUGGUUUCAGAUUGGGCGUCAGCAUAAUUCCCAUCUCUCCAUUCCAAAUCCCAGAGACCCACCACCACCACCACUCCCCUAUUCUCAUCUGGUUCUCUAAUCAGAGCAGCAACUUCCAUGGCGGCUUCCACAGAAACAGACACCAAACCCUUCUCCGUUCUCUUUGUGUGUUUGGGCAACAUUUGUCGAAGCCCAGCUGCCGAAGGGGUCUUCACCGAUUUGGUCAAGAAAAGGGGUUUGGAUUCCAAGUUCAAGAUUGACUCAGCCGGAACCAUUAAUUAUCACGAGGGUAACCCAGCAGACCCAAGAAUGAGGGCAUCCUCAAAAAGUCGUGGGAUUGUGAUAACUUCAUUGUCAAGGCCAAUCCGCUCCUCCGAUUUUGUAGACUUUGAUUUGAGUCUCGCCAUGGAUAACCAGAAUAGAGAUGAUAUUAUUGAAGCUUUUAAUAGGUGGAAAUUUAGAGACACUUUGCCUGAGGAUGCUCAUAAGAAGAAUUUGUUGUGAUUUGCAGCACCAAGAUUCACUUUCAACCUGAAAAACCAGUCAAGAAAGAAAACUAACACAAUAUACCAGUAGUUCAUCACAGCAAAGUAGAGAACUUUAAUCAAACAGAAGAAAACUUAAACAUAUGGUACAAUACCAUUAGUUUAUCACAUCAAAGUAGAGAACUUUAAUCAAACAGUAAGAAAACUUAAACAUAGAGAAGAACACCAGCUUUAUACUUCCAGUUUGAGCACUAUCUUGAGCUCCUCCACUAUGAAUCAAAAGCAGUAAUACACUUGUAUCUAUACAGUUGAGAAUCAACACUCAGGUCAGAUCUCUCUCAAGAGUCACUCAGUACAAUCUCUUUAAUGUACUCUCAAAGUGUAUAUAUAGCCAGCCAAACAGAACAUGACUUAUCCAGCUAUAUAACAGACUUAUCAAAGUAAUUGAUGUCAUGGCAGGUUGGAGAAUUAAUACCACAGAAUUUAUUUGCAAAAAUUACACUAAAUUUACACUGUUCUGACCCUGUGUAAAUUCAGUGAGGUUAUUUAGCAAAUCUAAUACUUUUAUAUGGUCAGUUUAGCAAAUUCCUGGUUUGUUUGUGAUGCAUGUUAAGCUAAUGUGUUCUUAUUGUAAGCGACAUGACGAAACUGAAGUGCCAGAUCCUUAUUAUGGUGGACAACAAGGCUUUGAGAAGGUUUUGGAUUUACUUGAAGAUGCUUGUGAAUCAUUGCUUGAUAGCAUAUUGGCAGAGAAAAAAAACAUCUAGGAAGAAAGAAAAUGAGAUAAAAUGCCAAUUGGUCACCAGUCUGGCUUUGGUUCCUUCUCUGUGAUCAAAUUUUAUUUUCCUAUUCUUGCUAAUAAUGAUAUUUUCCCACUAUUAUGUUGAUUAUUAUACUGGUAGGCAUCUUUCUCUUGCUACACUUUACAUGCUGGAAUUUUAUAUGAUAUCUGUUUUUCAUUUCUAUAUUUUCAUUUUCCAUGCUCAAUUACUUACAAAUUGGGUAAGUGAAGUAAAACUUAUAAAGUGACAGUGUUAAUUUGUGUAAUUUACUUUUCUUUUUUUCAGAUGGAAUAACAAAUAUACUGGUAGAAAUGAAUGUUAUAGCACCACAUGCUUUUGUUUCAUAAGUUUGGUUUACCCACAUCGUGAAAAUAUUGUGGGUAACUCCCAGAUAACUCCCGUGUCCUCUUCUCCUUCAUUGAAAAUUUUAUUUCUUUCUAAUCAUAUACUGCCUAAUGGUACUUUUUAUAGAAGUUCCAAGUACAUAUGACAUUUUAUUGUCACUUGUUAUCUUAUAUUUAUAUGGUGCAUCUAAUCUAUGACACAGAAUUAUGGUGCAUUCUUGGAGAAAGACGGAGCAGGGUUUAGAGGGCAAGUUAAACUUACUGGAUUUUAAAGUGGAUUUCGCAUUGUUUAACAUGGUUCUAGGUUGGGCUUAAGGGAGAAUUCUUGAAGAUAUAUGCUGCAGAAGAAAAUGAAAAGGCAGGGUGGACUGAUUUAACUCCAGAUGCUGAUCCAUCGAUAUUAAGAGAGUCGCCAUCUAUUUCAAUUCGGGAGUCACAAGAUAAUUAUUAGUUUAUUUACAUUAAUUUACUAAGGAAUGAACUUUAUGAAGUUUUUUUUUAUUUUGGUAGUUGUAACCUUAAAAUGAUAACUUUAUGAUUUAUUUUAGUAUUGAACAUUAUAAAGAAUUUUAGCAUUAAACAUUUUAUUAUUGAA